AGUGAACGCUGGCGGCAGGCCUAACACAUGCAAGUCGAACGGCAGCACAAGAGAGCUUGCUCUCUGGGUGGCGAGUGGCGGACGGGUGAGGAAUGCAUCGGAAUCUGCCCAUUUGUGGGGGAUAACCUCGGGAAACCGGGACUAAUACCGCAUACGACCUACGGGUGAAAGCAGGGGAUCUUCGGACCUUGCGCAGAUGGAUGAGCCGAUGCCGGAUUAGCUAGUUGGAGGGGUAAAGGCCCACCAAGGCGACGAUCCGUAGCUGGUCUGAGAGGAUGAUCAGCCACACUGGGACUGAGACACGGCCCAGGCUCCUACGGGAGGCAGCAGUGGGGAAUAUUGGACAAUGGGCGCAAGCCUGAUCCAGCCAUGCCGCGUGUGUGAAGAAGGCCUUCGGGUUGUAAAGCACUUUUGUUGGGAAAGAAAAGCAGCCGGUUAAUACCCGGUUGUCAUGACGGUACCCAAAGAAUAAGCACCGGCUAACUUCGU
rnacentral:rRNA from 1 species